UUAACUUAAAUUUGUAUGGAGUUAGAAGGUUUGCCUACGUUGGCCGCUAGGGGCGCUGUUCCAACUGCUUACAAAUUUGAGUUA
rnacentral:pre_miRNA from 1 species